rnacentral:rRNA from 1 species
CCUACGGGAGACAGCAGUGGGGGAUAUUGCACAAUGGGGGGAACCCUGAUCCAGCGACGCCGCGUGAGUGAAGAAGCAUUUCGGUAUGUAAAGCCCUAUCAGCAGGGAAGAAAAUGACGGUACCCGACUAGGAAGCCCCGGCUAACUACGUGCCAGCAGCCGCGGUAAUACGUAGGGGGCAAGCGUUAUCCGGAUUUACUGGGUGUAAAGGGGGCGCAGACGGUGCAGCAAGUCAGCAGUGAAAGGUCGGGGCCCAACCCCGGGACUGCAUUGGAAACUGGUGAGCUGGAGUACAGGAGAGGUAAGCGGAAUUCCUGGUGUAGCGGUGAAAUGCGUAGAUAUCAGGAGGAACACCAGUGGCGAAGGCGGCUUACUGGACUGUAACUGACGUUGAGGCUCGAAAGCGUGGGGAGCAAACAGGAUUAGAUACCCCUGUAGUC